rnacentral:SRP_RNA from 1 species
CCUUGGAAACCUUGAUCAGGACGUCCGUGCAGAAAAUCGUGAGACCGAUCGGCAGGGCUACCGCAAUCAUGUUCUUUCCAAGCCCCCGUGCGGCAAACCUCCACCCCAGCUCCCUCCACAAGGACACGCUGGUUUCGACG